rnacentral:rRNA from 1 species
CAUGAAGUCGGAAUUGCUAGUAAUCGCGGAUCAGCAUGCCGCGGUGAAUACGUUCCCGGGCCUUGUACACACCGCCCGUCACACCAUGGGGGGCCGGUAAUACCCGAAGUCAGUAGUCCAACCACGUGAGGACGCUGCCGAAGGUAGGAUUGGCGACUGGGGUGAAGUCGUAACAAGGUAGC